rnacentral:rRNA from 1 species
GAUGAACGCUGGCGGCGUGCCUAAUACAUGCAAGUCGAGCGAAUGAAUGGGAGCUUGCUCCUGUUCGUUAGCGGCGGACGGGUGAGUAACACGUGGGCAACCUGCCUGUAAGACUGGGAUAACUUCGGGAAACCGGAGCUAAUACCGGAUAGUUUCUUUCUUCACAUGAAGAAGGAUGGAAAGACGGUUUUGCUGUCACUUACAGAUGGGCCCGCGGCGCAUUAGCUAGUUGGUGAGGUAAUGGCUCACCAAGGCGACGAUGCGUAGCCGACCCGAGAGGGUGAUCGGCCACACUGGGACUGAGACACGGCCCAGACUCCUACGGGAGGCAGCAGUAGGGAAUCUUCCGCAAUGGACGAAAGUCUGACGGAGCAACGCCGCGUGAGUGAAGAAGGUUUUCGGAUCGUAAAACUCUGUUGUCAGGGAAGAACAAGUACCAGAGUAACUGCUGGUACCUUGACGGUACCUGACCAGAAAGCCACGGCUAACUACGUGCCAGCCGCCGCGGUAAUAC